rnacentral:rRNA from 1 species
GAGUUUGAUCUUGGCUCAGAUUGAACGCUGGCGGCAUGCCUUACACAUGCAAGUCGAACGGCAGCAUGAUCUGGCUUGCUAGAUUGAUGGCGAGUGGCGAACGGGUGAGUAAUACAUCGGAACGUGCCCUGUAGUGGGGGAUAACUAGUCGAAAGAUUAGCUAAUACCGCAUACGACCUGAGGGUGAAAGUGGGGGACCGCAAGGCCUCAUGCUAUAGGAGCGGCCGAUGUCUGAUUAGCUAGUUGGUGGGGUAAAGGCCCACCAAGGCGACGAUCAGUAGCUGGUCUGAGAGGACGAUCAGCCACACUGGGACUGAGACACGGCCCAGACUCCUACGGGAGGCAGCAGUGGGGAAUUUUGGACAAUGGGCGAAAGCCUGAUCCAGCAAUGUCGCGUGUGUGAAGAAGGCCUCGGUGUAAG